rnacentral:tRNA from 1 species
UGGGAUGGAGUUCAGGGGUAGAGCACUUGCCUAGCAAAUAGGAGGCCUUGGGUUUAAUCCCCAGUAUCUCUC